rnacentral:rRNA from 1 species
GACGAACGCUGGCGGCGUGCUUAACACAUGCAAGUCGAACGGUAAGGCCCUUCGGGGUACACGAGUGGCGAACGGGUGAGUAACGCGUGAGUAACCUGCCCUUCACUCUGGGAUAACAGUUGGAAACGGCUGCUAAUACCGGAUAUUCAGCCCCUGUCGCAUGGUGGGGGUUGGGAAGUUUUGGUGGUGGAGGAUGGGCUCGCGUCCUAUCAGCUUGUUGGUGGGGUGAUGGCCUACCAAGGCGUCGACGGGUAGCCGGCCUGAGAGGGCGACCGGCCACAUUGGGACUGAGAUACGGCCCAAACUCCUACGGGAGGCAGCAGUGGGGAAUAUUGCACAAUGGGCGGAAGCCUGAUGCAGCAACGCCGCGUGCGGGAUGACGGCCUUCGGGUUGUAAACCGCUUUCAGCAGGGACGAAGCGCAAGUGACGGUACCUGCAGAAGAAGCACCGGCUAACUACGUG